UAGCCUAGUGGUUAAGGCUAUGGAUCGCCAAUUCGGAGAUAGCGGGUUCGAUUCCCGU
rfam:Aedes albopictus isolate Foshan contig8909, whole genome shotgun sequence.